ACGGGUGCGUAACGCGUGGGAAUCUGCCCUUGGGUUCGGAAUAACAGUUGGAAAUGACUGCUAAUACCGGAUGAUGUCUUCGGACCAAAGAUUUAUCGCCCAAGGAUGAGCCCGCGUAAGAUUAGCUAGUUGGUGGGGUAAUGGCCCACCAAGGCGACGAUCUUUAGCUGGUCUGAGAGGAUGAUCAGCCACACUGGGACUGAGACACGGCCCAGACUCCUACGGGAGGCAGCAGUGGGGAAUAUUGGACAAUGGGCGAAAGCCUGAUCCAGCAAUGCCGCGUGAGUGAUGAAGGCCUUAGGGUUGUAAAGCUCUUCUACCAGGGAUGAUAAUGACAGUACCUGGAGAAUAAGCUCCGGCUAACUCCGUGCCAGCAGCCGCGGUAAUACGGAGGGAGCUAGCGUUGUUCGGAAUUACUGGGCGUAAAGCGUACGUAGGCGGUUAUUCAAGUCAGAGGUGAAAGCCCGGGGCUCAACCCCGGAACGGCCUUUGAAACUAGGUAGCUAGAGUCUUGGAGAGGUUAGUGGAAUUCCGAGUGUAGAGGUGAAAUUCGUAGA
rnacentral:rRNA from 1 species